AAUGGGGUGGCUUUUCCCAAGAGCAGGGAACACAAAAACACCAGGGCGGUGCUGUGACAUCACGACGCCCCACCCCCGCCCCGCCCCCCGGCGCGAAGGACCUGCGGAUCGGGGUGGACAGAGGCAUUGUUUAUAUUCUCUUGCUUGAUGCCCAAAACAAACACAGAGGAAGAAAAUCCAGCUGUUUCCAGAGCGAUGGAAUCAGGAGUCGGGUGUUGGAAAAGCGCCAGUUGUCACGAGAUUUGUAACCCAGGCUGAAAUGUCCUGUGCUUGCAUUUUGACCUUUGUCUAGCACCCACGGCUGGCCUGCCUUCUCUGCCUCAGCUCCUCCUGACUGGCGUCCUUGCGUUUGGAUCUGUGCUGGGAUUGGUUCUGAGACAACAUAAACACAGCGUGACUCAUGGAUUUGAAGAAGUGUAAGGGUGAAGAACGUGAAGUCAUCAAGGUUAGGAGAAGCAAUGCCAGCGAUGAACAUUGGACUUCUAAUCACGUUCAAGGAGAGAUGAUUCCAUUCAUUUUAUAAGUAAUGCAAAUACCCUACAUAGAAGAAGCUGUGAAGAACCAAAAGCAAAAGGAAGGAAGAUAUUGAGAAUUGGGGAAUAAUCACCUCAUUUAUACUGUGUCAGAAGCCAUCUAGGAGAUCCUAAGGCUAGCAGAUGAUGUUCCUGAGGCUUUCACCCGAUUCUCGGUAUCGUGUCGGUGCGGGCAUGGGGCACUGACAAAUGGAGGUUCCACCGAGAUUUGAACUUUGAAUCCAGUGAUCCGAGAUCAGAAAGACAAGGUCUCCUGACAGGACGUCCUGGGAAGCCAGCAAAGAAGCAGGGACUUAUUGGGGUAAGAUGGGCUAAAAAAGGCCUCGGUGAUUUGGGCUAGCGUGAGUAAAACUUGUAAUAAAAAAGGGACAAGGUAAUGGUAAGGUAUUUUUGUGUAUGCGCUCUUUUAGAGUUAUGUUUUAGUCUUUGGACCAUGACUAGAGAGUUUACGCCCUAGAUAUGAGAGAGAAUGAAUGGGUUUAAGAGAAAUAGUCCUCCCAGACUCUCCACAGAUGCUUUGGAACUUUUUCAGAGCUCUCGUAGGAACAGAAGGAAGGCAGGAGACGUCCUGCCUCUCUGCUGGCUCCUAUUGGAAAAAUGAUGUGUAUUGUCUGUCCUUGGUGUACCAAGCUGUCCAUGUCUUUCAGUUUAUGUCUGUGGUUUUUGUUUCUUGUUGCUUAAAUGUUUUAUGUUUCAUGUUCAAAACAAAAAAUGGUAAAAACUUUAUCUGCCAGUUGUUCACACCUUGAUUUGGUUUUAACUCGUUUCAAAAAAAGGAACAAAUGAAUAAAAAGCAGUUUCAAUCAGCCUUUGGAGCCCUGCACGUGUAGCUAGGAGCCUAGGUCAGCUGGAGAAGCUGCCCGGGGGUGAGCAUCUGCAUCAGCUGAUUAUUAGACUUAGCAGGUGACAAGGUGCUUCUCUUAAAAUCACAGCUAGAAAAGUAAAAAUGGUGCUUGGUCUAAAUAUUAAAAAUAUGUGUAGCCACUUCAAUUUUGUUUCUGAUUGGUUUUAAAUGUAUAAAUAUGCUCUACAUGCCUUGGUUAUGGACUAUUGGCUUUUAAGUUAUUGGAUAUGGCUAAAAAAAAUGUAACAUUGGUAACAGAAAGUUGACAUAAAACUGGUAAUUUGGAUAAAGUCAUUCUAGACAACAUGUGGCAUGAGCCAAUCUAGGGAAACAGGUCUAAAUUGGGAUAAUAUUUUUAUGGAACUCUUAUCCUAGAAAACAGGCUUCUAAAAGAUUUUAAGGCAAUGUCUCCUUGUUGAUGUAUUGGAGACCACACCAUCAUGCGUUCAUAUGUAGGAAUUGGCAGUCAAACUUUGUAGCAAGAAGGAUAGACUCAGUGUUUUGGAGACUGGAUUUUGGAGACUAGAUUGUUUGUUGGAGGUUGAGUUUUGCUUUCCAAAGUUGUGGAUUGCCCUGAAGUUACCUGUAUUUUGAUGCUAAUUCCACUGCCCCAAGGACAGCUGCCUAGUCACUUACUCAGAACUCAGGUGACUUUCCAAAGUUGUGGUUGUGCUCUGGUGUUACAAGGAGAACUUAAGGAUUGUGAUUAAGGAUUGCCAGUGUUACAUUAACUAACUCAAAUUUAUUUGUAAUUAAGAAAAAAAAAUCAAACAGGUAGAGAUUAUUACAGGAUUUAUGAAGGAUUGAUGAGAUUUUGGAACUUGUGAGAGCAUUACAGCCUGUUUGCGUACUCCAACUGCCAUAUUUCAAGAUAGAUUUAGAGGAUUGUUUUUAUGCUGUUUGUUUAUGUCCUGGAGAUAGUGAGGAGUUUUCAUUUCGUGAGCUUGCUUAUAAUUUUACAGAGCCCAUGAAGUGAUAUCAUUAAAAAUUUUACAAAAGAAUGGCUAAUAGCCUUAUAUUAUGUAAUUUUGUUGCUUCUUCAAUGUAAGAAGUUAGAACUAUGAAUCUUAAGUGUAUAUGGAUAUUUUUACUACAAACCUUUGCUCUCAAAAUGAGCUUUAAUAUUUGGGGAGUAACUGUUGCUCCAGAAAAGAUUCAAUAUUCCUUUUUAAUAUUUGAAACUAAUUUUUAGCUUCUAAGGAUAUGUUAAUUGGCUAAGUACCUCAACUUACCAGAGGACUUAGGCCUUUGUUUGUUAUCCUCAUUGGAGAUAAAGCUUCUGUUGUGUUAAUACAGAAUUGUAGGCUAGAGUCAUGGAAGUAUUUUAAAAAGAAACCUGGUGAAACAUACCUUAUUCCAAACAACAAUUAAAUUGGUUAUUACAAAAUACUGAUAUUUGGCCUAUCACAUAUACAAAUUUUUCAGGCAAAGUUGAUAAUUUUACUCUUUGCAUGCUUUUGUAUUUACUGUAAAUUUGUGCAUGCUGAAAGAAUAAAAAUGCAGCCAAAAAGUCAAAAGUUUAGGAAUGCUGUCCCACCCAUAAGAAGCCCUAAAUACCUCCAAUUCCAGACCCUGCCCUCUACCUGAAAGUAGAGCCUGCUCUCCCAGGAACUAGGGGAAAGGACUUAAGAUAAGGCCCUUAGAAAUGUGAUUCCGGACCCGGUAAAGAUAAUAGAAAGCUUCUCCCAGGAUCUAGCUGAUCAUAAAGUUAAAUUAGAAUCUUAAGAGAACAACCUUGAGAAGCAGGAAGCUUCUCCUAGGAACUAAAGGGAACACUAAGUUAAGCAAUCUUGACAGACUGGAAGCUUCUUGUGAUUUUCCAAUGACACCACCCCUGCCCCCUUGGGUUGUGGUUUCUCCCUUUAAAUACCCUUUCUCCCAGCCUCUCGGGGUCUACACCUCUGUCUCUGUCUCCUGCGUGGGAUACGUGUCGGCCUGGAGAUCUCCAUAAUAGAUCUCUGUAAUAAACCUCGCCUUGGCAUAUUACAUCCCUGUGUCUCCCUGUGUCUGGGGUCCGUGACUACCCAAAACUUGAGUAAGGGUCUCUCUUCGGGAAUCUUUUAAUGCAACCCAUAGAAAAUGUGCUUACUGUAUUUAUAGGUGGUUCAUCUAAUGAAAAUGCUACAUAUAUGAUUGGACCACUUGUUUAUUCUCUAGAGUUUCCCCUUGUUCAGCACAGAUUAUUGAAUUAUGUGCUGUAGCCGCUGUUUUUUAAAUGUUAAAAAAUCAAGCUUUCAAUUCAUAUACUGAUAGCCAAUGUGGCUUGUGGUUUACAAUUGAUUAAAAAGUUUUUCUUUUUUUAGAUACUACUAGCCCUCAAAUUUUACAAUUACUUAAUGCUUUAUCAGAGGCAAGUUUUCUACAUGAAAUCAGUGAGUGAUGAUUUCAGUGUGAAUGUCUGACAACUCACUGUCCUUUCAGUGCUCUGUCUCAGACAACUAAACAAAACCAUAGACUCACACCCAGCUCUUUGGAAAUGGUAAUGGAGUUGAUAGCACACCCUCAUGGAAAAAAGGAAGACUCCAUUUGCUUACUCUCAACUCCCAGCCUUGCCUGCCAGCUCAGGGAUUUCUAGUACGGCUGAAUCUGGACAAUGUUUACAGGAUGUGGCAUUUCUAAUUAAUGAUUAUGUUUAGAUAAAUAAAGUUUGUGAGGGGCUGGAGAGAUGGCUUAGUGGUUAAGAGCACUAAAUUCUGUUCCUUUAUAGGCCAUUUAAGAACUCAAACUGGAUUGCCUGGACUCCUUAGCAAGGGAGGGCAAUGAUACCAGGCAGAUUAUAGGCCUUACAUAGGAACAAUUAGUAAAAAAAUCUCAUUCUUUAUAUAUCCAAAACAAUAAUGCUGGAGACAAUAAUUUGGUAUACAAGUCAAUUUAUAAAUACAAGUGCUCAGUGUCCUCAAUUUAAUCCUCGAGGACUUAUCUUAAUAAAUAAUAUUGUAACAAUAUCCUAAUAAAUAAAAAGGGGGAGUUAUCCCUGUAUGCUAAAUAAUGCUCUUUUUAUUUCAAUUUUAAAAUUUGGAUGCCAAGGAAUACUCUGAGUGUUGAUGGCACCCUACAACUAGGCAUACUUCUGCCUUGGUGAAAUAGAAAGAUUCACGAUCCUGUUUAGAUAUAUUAUAUGGGGAAGAGGGAAUGUUUGUGUUUUUCCUACAGGAUGCUGCAGGAGUAUGCCAGCUGCCAGAGGUGGUUGGUGAGACUUGCUGAUCCUGGGAGCAUGAAGAUUCCACUCUCGUGGUUCGGGUCCCUGGAGUCAUUCCUGUGCCCUUGGAGGAAGAUAGAGGAUUCCCCCUCAUCUUUUGUCAUUUUGGCAUUGCUGCAGUCUUUGUUACCGCCACUGUGUGUCCCAUCCCACCGCGGCCUGCGCCCCAACCCUCUGUGCACUGCUACUUGCCAGAGAAGACUGGACUCCAGCAGUUACCCCUGCCCUGACUGGUGUUGUCAUUUUGCAGUCUGUAGCUUCACAGGAAUGCCAUGUGCAUGAAGCUGCUGUGGACUGGGUAACUCUGCCCUGGUUGUGCGGAUCUCAGACAUGGUUCCAUUGCCUGCCGAUUGUUCCAGAGAAGAAUGGCUGAUCCUGAACUGUCCUGGGAAAGACUUUGGCAUUUUUGCUGCUAUUGUAGCAGCCAUUGUGUCUGCAGUGUCUGGAGUUACCCUCCCCCAAUCUAUUGUUAGGCAAGCACAGUGGGUGAACUUUCUGGAGUAGUUGCUGAUGUUUGGGAAUUCUAAAUUUUAUUACAGGAGCAGCUUGACGAUGGCCCUUGGUGUUAUGGCCCUAGGGCCCUUGUGCUUCUUAUCACAUGCGCAAACAGCACUUCCAGUCCUGGGCAGCAACUAAGCAGGUGUUGUUCUCCUUGAUAGGAGACAAACCUUCUGCCCAAAUUGGGCUCAGCCUUCACAAGAAGCAGUUAGCUGACUACGGGCAACUCUUUGGGACCAGGCUUCGCAUAAGGCAGGAAAUUCUGAGGCUGGCAGAAUAUUCCAAUGACAGGAAAGAAGCUUGUUAUUUCAAAGUGACCUAAGAUAGGCUGCUGCUUGAAAUUAUUAUAGGGGGACUUGCUAAAUAAAAAAAUAAAAUAGGGGGACUUGUCAGAGCCUCCUGGGUCCCCUACAAUGUUUCAACCCCCUUGUCAGACCCUUCUGGGUCUCUUGCAGGGUUUGACCCCUGCUGAGCCCAGCUGAUGCAUGUGGAACUGACACACCUGGGCCACACCUGGGCGGUGGUCAAUUUGUUCCUGGCUUUUGUCUUCUUGACCUUUGUCCUUGAGAUUUGGGCUGGUCUUCCCGGAUUUCUCCCUAAUUAAUUCAAGUCAUGAGCCAGGGUUUCCCACUGUGCUUCCCAGAUUUUUUCUAUCUGGGGAACUUGGGUAUAAUUGGUGAAUAAAGGUACAGGACUCUC